GACGAACGCUGGCGGCGUGCUUAACACAUGCAAGUCGAACGGAAAGGCCCUGCUUUUGUGGGGUGCUCGAGUGGCGAACGGGUGAGUAACACGUGAGUAACCUGCCCUUGACUUUGGGAUAACUUCAGGAAACUGGGGCUAAUACCGGAUAGGAGCUCCUGCUGCAUGGUGGGGGUUGGAAAGUUUCGGCGGUUGGGGAUGGACUCGCGGCUUAUCAGCUUGUUGGUGGGGUAGUGGCUUACCAAGGCUUUGACGGGUAGCCGGCCUGAGAGGGUGACCGGCCACAUUGGGACUGAGCUACGGCCCAGACUCCUACGGGAGGCAGCAGUGGGGAAUAUUGCACAAUGGGCGGAAGCCUGAUGCAGCAACGCCGCGUGCGGGAUGACGGCCUUCGGGUUGUAAACCGCUUUCGCCUGUGACGAGGCGUGAGUGACGGUAAUGGGUAAAGAAGCACCGGCUAACUACGUG
rnacentral:rRNA from 1 species